rnacentral:rRNA from 1 species
AGGUUAAGCUAAUAAGAGCACACGGAGGAUGCCUAGGCGCCAGGAGCCGACGAAGGACGUGGCGAACAACGAAACUGCCUCGGGGAGCUGUAAGC